UUCUCUGGACCCCACGCCGCCUGCCUGGGAGUGAAGAAGGAGCGGUCGCCGGCCUCCGCUGGGGGGGGGGCAGGGAAGGUUCGCUGGCUCCUGCUGAGGGGACUACUUUACGUGUUGGUGCGGCGAAUUUAUUUCCCUUUGCCUAAGGAACGGGCUGUGCUACGGCUCCCAUUGCCUAGGGAAAAAACCCGGAUGUAAAGAUCUCCUCACACGGACUAUGUGACCAUUCUACACUCAUAACUCCAACCUUCUAAACAUAGAACAUCAGAACGGCCAUAUUGAGUCAGACCAAUGGUCCAUCUAGCCAAGUAUCCUGUCAUUCGACAGUGGCCAAUGCCAAAGGGAAUGAAGAGGAACAGGUAAUAAUGGCAUGGAGCUGAUGCUUGGGACAUUUAAAGAAAGAUUGGCGAAAGCACUAUUUAGUAUACCGUAGAGAGCAAUCUUGCAAUGAACCUCAUUAAAGGAGUUGACAAUAGAGGUUCCCAAACUGCGGACUGUGAAG